rnacentral:rRNA from 1 species
CAGCCGCCGCGGUAAUACGAAGGGUGCAAGCGUUGUCCGGAAUUAUUGGGCGUAAAGAGCUCGUAGGCGGUUUGUCGCGUCUGCUGUGAAAUCCCGAGGCUCAACCUCGGGCUUGCAGUGGGUACGGGCAGACUAGAGUGCGGUAGGGGAGAUUGGAAUUCCUGGUGUAGCGGUGGAAUGCGCAGAUAUCAGGAGGAACACCGAUGGCGAAGGCAGAUCUCUGGGCCGUAACUGACGCUGAGGAGCGAAAGCGUGGGGAGCGAACAGGAUUAGAUACCCCAGUAGUCCCUGUCUCUUAUAC